GAGUUUGAUCCUGGUUCAGAUUGAACGCUGGCGGGGAGCUUUACACAUGCAAGUCGGACGGCAGCACGGACUUCGGUCUGGUGGCGAGUGGCGAAACGGGUGAGUAAUGUAUCGGAACGUGCCUAGUAGCGGGGGAUAACUACGAGAAAAAAUGAAAAAAAACCGCAUACGCCCUACGGGGGAAAGCGGGGGGACCUUCGGGCCUCGCACUAUUAGAGCGGCCGAUAUCGGAUUAGCUAGUUGGUGGGGUAACGGCUCACCAAGGCGACGAUCCGUAGCUGGUUUGAGAGGACGACCAGCCACACUGGGACUGAGACACGGCCCAGACUCCUACGGGAGGCAGCAGUGGGGAAUUAUGGACAAUGGGGGCAACCCUGAUCCAGCCAUCCCGCGUGUGCGAUG
rnacentral:rRNA from 1 species